rnacentral:rRNA from 1 species
AUGGCUCCUACCGAAGCUGAGGAUGAUGUAGAGGAGGGAGAAGAGAAGAAGAAGAGGGAAAGGAAAGCAGCCGGAGCUGCUUUCACGUGGAUUCAAAAUAACUUUGCGACGUGCCCUCCGGAUGCCACUGAUGAUGUGAUCCAGCCACAUGCUAGUGUGUAUAUGUGGUACGUUGUGUCGAGGACUUUGUUUCCUGACUCCACUGGCAAGAACGCUCCAUGGAUGUGGCUGAAGGCAUUGACCGUCUUCAAUAGCAAAUGGAGUUGGGGUUCAGCGACUCUUACCUACUUGUACCGACAGGUAGUUGGUCUGUUUUGUGAUCAAUUCAUUUCUUCAUUAGCAAUGCAAGUUUGCUGUCAAGUUAACAUUGUUUUUCUUUCACAUGUAGCUGGACGAUGCGUGUUGCAGGAUCACACCUAG